AACGAACGCUGGCGGCAGGCUUAACACAUGCAAGUCGAGCGCCCCGCAAGGGGAGCGGCAGACGGGUGAGUAACGCGUGGGAAUCUACCCAUCACUACGGAACAACUCCGGGAAACUGGAGCUAAUACCGUAUACGUCCUUCGGGAGAAAGAUUUAUCGGUGAUGGAUGAGCCCGCGUUGGAUUAGCUAGUUGGUGGGGUAAUGGCCUACCAAGGCGACGCUCCAUAGCUGGUCUGAGAGGAUGAUCAGCCACACGGGGACUGAGACACGGCCUGGACUCUGAAGGGAGGCAGCAGUGGGGAAUAUUGGACAAUGGGCGAAAGUCUGAUCCAGCCAUGCCGCGUGAGUGAUGACGGCCCUAGGGUUGUAAAGCUCUUUCGCAGGUGAAGAUAAUGACGGUAACCUGAGAAGAAGCCCCGGUUAACUUCGUGCCAGCCGCCGCAGUAAUAC
rnacentral:rRNA from 1 species